rnacentral:rRNA from 1 species
GGAUUAGGCAUGCAAGUCGAGCGGAAUAUCUUGCGUAGCAAUACGUAAGAUGUUUAGCGGCAAACGGGUUCGUAACACGUAGGAACAUCCCCAAUUCACGGAGAUAAUCCGCCGAAAGGCGGACUAAUAUCCGAUAGUCCCGCAAGGGUAAAGUCGCAAGACGGAAUUGGAUUGGCCUGCGUCCUAUCAGCUUGUUGGUGAGGUAACGGCUUACCAAGGCUAUGACGGGUAGGGGGCGUGAGAGCGCGACCCCCAACACUGGAACUGAGAUACGGUCCAGACUCCUACGGGAGGCAGCAGCCGAGAAUAUUGGACAAUGGGGGAAACCCUGAUCCAGCGACACCGCGUGUGGGAAGAAGGUCUUCGGAUUGUAAACCACUUUUAUAUGGGAGCAAGUUAUUGAGAGUACCAUGGGAAUAAGGGGUUGCUAACUCUGUGCCAGCAGCCGCGGUAAUA